UCAGACUGGAGUGCUCUUCUGAACAGCCGGAGAGCACCACAAAGCCAAGGCCGACGAGAAGGAUAAAGCACUUCGGCAGUAGGGAAGCCCUUCUUGACCACAUCGAGUCGUCUCCUUUCCAGGACCUGUUUAAUAUAAGAGGCACCCUUUUAGAAGCAACAGUACGUGCUACUAGGAUGAAGAUGGAAGAGGAGACCAAUCGAAGAGAUGCAGACACUCCAUCUCUGCAAUCUGCACAUUCACCAGAAAAGGUUGUCCCGACAGCAGUCUGUGCCAGGAAUCCUGCAGAAAAAGUGGCUGGAUGCGAAAUAACGCUAGACAGGCCCCUUUGCCAACUCAAUCUUG
rnacentral:lncRNA from 1 species